AAGAGGAAGUCAGGUGAGAGUCCUGCACAAUACCCGUUGCUGUAUUGGAGGAGCAGUGUUCCACCUCUGUGCGAACCGCACGGAAGCCACUGCGGGGCAAGUCCCUGUGGGAAGGCGGAGCACCUGCGUUGAUUCCUGAGUCAGAAUAUUC
rnacentral:ncRNA from 21 species